UCUUCGGAGUCUGGGGUGGUCGCAAAGAUCCCGGACGAGCCCCCAUUAUUAUGAAAGAUCCCACGCAGAGAGACCCUUACUCAAGUCUUGGGAAAUCGCGGACCCCAGACACAGAGAGACCA
rnacentral:pre_miRNA from 14 species